rnacentral:rRNA from 1 species
AGAGUUUGAUCCUGGCUCAGAUUGAACGCUGGCGGCAGGCCUAACACAUGCAAGUCGAACGGUAACAGGCGAGUGCUUGCACUUGCGCUGACGAGUGGCGGACGGGUGAGUAACGCGUAGGAAUCUACCUGGUAGUGGGGGAUAGCCCGGGGAAACUCGGAUUAAUACCGCAUACGCCCUACGGGGGAAAGCAGGGGCUCUUCGGACCUUGCGCUAUUGGAUGAGCCUGCGUUAGAUUAGCUAGUUGGUGGGGUAAAGGCCUACCAAGGCGACGAUCUAUAGCUGGUCUGAGAGGAUGAUCAGCCACACUGGGACUGAGACACGGCCCAGACUCCUACGGGAGGCAGCAGUGGGGAAUAUUGCGCAAUGGGCGAAAGCCUGACGCAGCCAUGCCGCGUGUGUGAAGAAGGCUCUAGGGUCGUAAAGCACUUUAAGUGGGGAGGAAGGCUACUUAGUUAAUACCUGAGUAGAUUGACGUUACCCACAGAAUAAGCACCGGCUAACUCCGUGCCAGCAGCCGCGGUAAUACGGAGGGUGCGAGCGUUAAUCGGAAUUACUGGGCGUAAAGCGCGCGUAGGCGGUUUUGUAAGCUGGGUGUGAAAGCCCCGGGCUCAACCUGGGAACUGCAUUCAGAACUGCAAGGCUAGAGUACAGUAGAGGGUGGUAGAAUUUCCUGUGUAGCGGUGAAAUGCGUAGAUAUAGGAAGGAAUACCAGUGGCGAAGGCGGCCACCUGGACUGAUACUGACGCUGAGGUGCGAAAGCGAGGGUAGCGAACAGGAUUAGAUACCCUGGUAGUCCACGCUGUAAACGAUGUCAACUAGCCGUAGGGAUCCUUGAGAUUUUUGUGGCGCAGCUAACGCACUAAGUUGACCGCCUGGGGAGUACGGCCGCAAGGUUAAAACUCAAAUGAAUUGACGGGGGCCCGCACAAGCGGUGGAGCAUGUGGUUUAAUUCGAUGCAACGCGAAGAACCUUACCUGGUCUUGACAUCCUCGGAAGC